rnacentral:rRNA from 1 species
ACACGACUACAUUAGAUACCCCUGUAGUCCUAGGCGUAAAUGAUGCGAGUUAAGUGUGGGGGCGAUCUACGAGAUGGCCCUGUGCUGUAGGGUAGGCCGUUAAACUACGCUGCCUGGGAGUACGGUCGCAAGGCUGAAACUUAAAGGAAUUGGCGGGGGAGGCACCACAAGAGGUGGAGGGCUGCGGUUCAAUUGGACUCAAUGCCGGAAAAACUCAUCGGGAGCGACAGCAGUAUGAUUGCCAGGUUGAUGACCUUGCUUGACAAGCUG